UACGUAGGGGGCAAGCGUUGUCCGGAUUUACUGGGCGUAAAGGGAUGCGUAGGCGGACAUUUAAGUUCAGAUGUGAAAUACCCGAGCUUAACUUGGGUGCUGCAUUUGAAACUGGGUGUCUAGAGUGCAGGAGAGGUAAGUGGAAUUCCUAGUGUAGCGGUGAAAUGCGUAGAGAUUAGGAAGAACACCAGUGGCGAAGGCGACUUACUGGACUGUAACUGACGCUGAGGCAUGAAAGCGUGGGGAGCAAACAGG
rnacentral:rRNA from 1 species